AUAAGUUGAUUUUUCUCUGAUUAUUAGAUGUUUCUUGUUGACUAAUAAAAAUUUGGCUUAGACAAAAUGAUUGUAAACUGUAGUAAGUGGGACUAUGGUAGCUGAAGUACAGAAAGAACAUAAUUGUAAAGAUUAUACAAAAAGAAGAUCGGAUCUGCGGAAACUAGUGAAGAAAAAUAUUUUUGAUGGUAACUACUCCCUCCGUUUCGCUAUGUAAGUAGUUUUGCUUAAAAGCACGGCUAUUAAGAAACUUCAACUUUUUCUAAAACAACAAUAAAAACGUUUUUGUAUUUAUUGCACACGUUCAUUUUGUCUGCAACAUUUAAUUAGAAAGAGAUUAUUGUUAGUAAUAAAAUUAAUAAAAAAUAAUAUCAACAAUCACACGUUUGAGUUUUCUAAAAACUUUUUUACAACAUUUUGGAGCCAAAUUUUUGUAUAACUAAUUUAAACUAAAAAAUCAAAAUUUUAUGAUGGAGCCAAAGUAAAACUUUUGAACAGUUUGUAAUAUGCUUAUUUAAGCUUCAAUUUCUUUGUCGGGAUGAAGCUCUCCAAUAUCAUAAUGCAUCUUGUUCAAGUCAAAUGGCCGAGUGAACAUCUGGAGGUUUGAUUGUGUUUUGUUGAUUUUUUUAACAUUUUCUGUUUUGUUUUCUUUUUGACUUUUUUCUUCAUUUUGAUCCAUAGUUUUAUGAAGAAAAAAUAGAUCGAAGAAAGUAAAUCAAAAAGAAAAACUAAUGGAGUAAGACAACAUUUACGGUGGUAUUUAUAGUGAAUUUAGAAAUAGAUUUUUUGGUAACUAGUAGUAAAUGUUAGUUGACUGACAUUGUAAGUUGUGUUUAAAAAAUUGAAAACUAACGACAAGGCCUUUAAGUUUUUUAGUGGAAUAUUGUAUA